GGCCCUUCGGGGUACUCGAGCGGCGAACGGGUGAGUAACACGUGAGCAACCUGCCCCUGGCUCUGGGAUAGCCUCCGGAAACGGGGAUUAAUACCGGACAUUCACUCUUCUGGGCAUCCUAGAGGGUGGAAAGUUUUUUCGGCCAGGGAGGGGCUCGCGGCCUAUCAGCUUGUUGGCGGGGUAACGGCCCACCAAGGCGACGACGGGUAGCCGGCCUGAGAGGGCGACCGGCCACACCGGGACUGAGACACGGCCCAGACUCCUACGGGAGGCAGCAGUGGGGAAUAUUGCGCAAUGGGCGGAAGCCUGACGCAGCGACGCCGCGUGCGGGAUGAAGGCCUUCGGGUUGUAAACCGCUUUCACCAGGAGCGAAUUCAGACGGUACCUGGGGAAGAAGCGCCGGCUAACUACGUGCCAGCAGCCGCGGUAAUACGUAGGGCGCAAGCGUUGUCCGGAAUUAUUGGGCGUAAAGAGCUCGUAGGCGGCCUGUCGCGUCCGCUGUGAAAUCCCGGGGCUUAACCCCGGGCCUGCAGUGGAUACGGGCUGGCUGGAGGCAGGCAGGGGAGAACGGAAUUCCCGGUGUAGCGGUGAAAUGCGCAGAUAUCGGGAGGAACACCGGUGGCGAAGGCGGUUCUCUGGGCCUGUUCUGACGCUGAGGAGCGAAAGCGUGGGGAGCGA
rnacentral:rRNA from 1 species